AUCACGUCUCUCUGCCUUUCAGCGUGAAAUACAACACGCCAUACCAUUCACAGCAGUAACUCUACGCGGACACAUUUAUGAUGAGGAACUUUAAAGGUGCUGUUUGGUGAUCGGCUGCUCGGCGUCUAGGAUGGAGGUUACGAGGAUCUGAGGGCAUACCCGCUUUCACAAUCGUCCCCUCUGCGCAUGCGCCGCACAUGACAGGAUCAGAUAUGGUCCUGGGAGAAUCUAAUGUGCUCCACUCUACUGCUAAUGGUCGAUCCAUAAAAGACCAUCAGUGCCGCCAUGCCAGCACCAUUACCUGAGUCUUGCUGCCCCAUCCUUCUUCCAGAAUGGAGCUCUCAACAGUCAUCAGACUUCAAAUAUUUCAAUAACUGGCUAAUAUAAGAUCUCCUCUUUCCUACUGCCUCAAAAGCAACUGGUUGCAUUAUAAUUGUGCAUAGUUAGCAAGUGCAAUAAAUAGUUAUGGUUCUGCAUUGGAUCACCAAUCUACGACAGUAUUUCUAAACUAAAAAGUGUUCAAACCACAAAGGAAGCAAAGCACCGUAAACAUCUAAUCAAGUGUUAAUUUCUUUUUUACUGAACAGUGAUUCCCAUGAUAGCCGCUGAAUUUUUUUUUUUUUUUAAAGCAUUACGUUUAAAAAGGCUACUGC